UACGUAGGGUGCAAGCGUUAAUCGGAAUUACUGGGCGUAAAGCGUGCGCAGGCGGUGAUGUAAGACAGUUGUGAAAUCCCCGGGCUCAACCUGGGAACUGCAUCUGUGACUGCAUCGCUGGAGUGCGGCAGAGGGGGAUGGAAUUCCGCGUGUAGCAGUGAAAUGCGUAGAUAUGCGGAGGAACACCGAUGGCGAAGGCAAUCCCCUGGGCCAACACUGACGCUCAGGCACGAAAGCGUGGGGAGCAAACAGG
rnacentral:rRNA from 1 species